rnacentral:lncRNA from 1 species
ACCGCGAUCCGAUGAUUAUGGAUAUCUUCCAAAGGUCCCUUAAAACUGCAUAAGCGUCUGACCUCUAUAAAUAUCCACAUGAGGCCUCGAUAUGAUCAGAAAUUUUUUGAUCUCAUCGAGGUGCUAGCUUUCUUAUAGAGAUCGCAUCUUGAUGGUUGAAAACUCUUCAUUUCUCUUAAGUCCCUCUUAGACAAGAAGAAGAGAAUAGGAGGAUGAAGAUCUCUAUGCUAGAGAUCAUAAGAAGAACAUUUUUUUUCUCUUUCUUCGUAAAACACAUGCAUAAAAUCUCUAUGCAAGAGAUCUAAAAAAAUAUAUCCAACUCUUGGACAAAGGAGAGAGAAAUAUUCAUGUCCCAAACUU